GAUGAACGCUGGCGGCGUGCCUAAUACAUGCAAGUCGAGCGAACAGACGAGGAGCUUGCUCCUCUGACGUUAGCGGCGGACGGGUGAGUAACACGUGGAUAACCUACCUAUAAGACUGGGAUAACUUCGGGAAACCGGAGCUAAUACCGGAUAAUAUAUUGAACCGCAUGGUUCAAUAGUGAAAGACGGUUUUGCUGUCACUUAUAGAUGGAUCCGCGCUGCAUUAGCUAGUUGGUAAGGUAACGGCUUACCAAGGCAACGAUGCUUAGCCGACCUGAGAGGGUGAUCGGCCACACUGGAACUGAGACACGGUCCAGACUCCUACGGGAGGCAGCAGUAGGGAAUCUUCCGCAAUGGGCGAAAGCCUGACGGAGCAACGCCGCGUGAGUGAUGAAGGUCUUCGGAUCGUAAAACUCUGUUAUUAGGGAAGAACAAAUGUGUAAGUAACUAUGCACGUCUUGACGGUACCUAAUCAGAAAGCCACGGCUAACUACGUG
rnacentral:rRNA from 1 species